rnacentral:rRNA from 1 species
UACGUAGGGUGCAAGCGUUGUCCGGAAUUAUUGGGCGUAAAGAGCUCGUAGGCGGUUUGUCGCGUCGGCUGUGAAAACUCGGGGCUCAACCCCGAGCCUGCAGUCGAUACGGGCAGACUAGAGUGCUGUAGGGGAGACUGGAAUUCCUGGUGUAGCGGUGAAAUGCGCAGAUAUCAGGAGGAACACCGGUGGCGAAGGCGGGUCUCUGGGCAGUAACUGACACUGAACGACGAAAGCCAGGGGAGCAAACGGG